rnacentral:misc_RNA from 1 species
UGGCCUUUGACAAUUCCACCUAUUGACAAUGUUCUUUUCACUUCCUCAUCUUCUCUCUCCUCAAGUGAAACUUCACCGAGGGGGAAUUUGAAGGUUGCUCUUGGUAAACCAAUUGUUGGAACAGGUGUUGACAGCUCAAGUGCAUAGCCAGGAUCAGCAAGCUUUGCAACCAUUGACACCUCUCCUUCUUUAGCCUUGACAUCAUGGGCAGCCUUGAAUUGCAAGGUGGGACCCACAUCAAAGGAGCCUUUGAUAAGAGCAUUUUGGUCAGCAAGAUCAUAGUGAAUAGAUAGGAGUUUCGAAGUGAAGG